UACGUAGGGGGCUAGCGUUGUCCGGGAUCAUUGGGCGUAAAGCGCGUGUAGGCGGUCCGGUAAGUCCGCUGUGAAAGUCGGGGGCUCAACCCUCGGAUGCCGGUGGAUACUGUCGGGCUUGAGUACGGAAGAGGCGAGUGGAAUUCCUGGUGUAGCGGUGAAAUGCGCAGAUAUCAGGAGGAACACCAAUUGCGAAGGCAGCUCGCUGGGACGUUACUGACGCUGAGACGCGAAAGCGUGGGGAGCGAACAGG
rnacentral:rRNA from 1 species